AUUGAACGCUGGCGGCAUGCGUAACACAUGCAAGUCGAACGGUGUUUGGUGCUUGCACCAGACAUAGUGGCGGACGGGUGAGUAAUGCGUAGGAAUCUGUCUUAGAGAGGGGGACAACCCGAGGAAACUUGGGCUAAAACCGCAUAUUCUCGAGAGAGGAAAGCAGGGGACCGGAAACGGCCUUGUGCUCUAAGGUGAGCCUACGUCGGAUUAGCUAGUUGGUAGGGUAAAAGCCUACCAAGGCGAUGAUCUGUAGCUGGUCUGAGAGGACGGACAGCCACACUGGGACUGAGACACGGCCCAGACUCCUACGGGAGGCAGCAGUGGGGAAUAUUGGACAAUGGGGGAACCCUGAUCCAGCGAUGCCGCGUGUGUGAAGAAGGCCUGCGGGUUGUAAAGCACUUUCAGUGGGAAAGAGAAGCGUCUUGUGAAUAAUGGGACGUGGAGACGUUACUCACAGAAGAAGCACCGGCUAACUCUAGUGCCAGCAGCCGCGGUAAU
rnacentral:rRNA from 1 species